GACGAACGCUGGCGGCGUGCCUAAUACAUGCAAGUCGAACGCAUUUUCUUUCACCGUAGCUUGCUACACCGAAAGAAAAUGAGUGGCGAACGGGUGAGUAACACGUGGGUAACCUGCCCAUCAGCGGGGGAUAACACUUGGAAACAGGUGCUAAUACCGCAUAAUUCCAUUUACUGCAUGGUAGAUGGAUGAAAGGCGCUUUUGCGUCACUGAUGGACGGACCCGCGGUGCAUUAGCUAGUUGGUGGGGUAACGGCCUACCAAGGCUGCGAUGCAUAGCCGACCGGAGAGGGUGAUCGGCCACACUGGGACUGAGACACGGCCCAGACUCCUACGGGAGGCAGCAGUAGGGAAUCUUCGGCAAUGGACGCAAGUCUGACCGAGCAACGCCGCGUGAGUGAAGAAGGUUUUCGGAUCGUAAAACUCUGUUGUUAGAAAAGAACAAGGAUGAGAGUGGAAAGUUCAUCCCUUGACGGUAUCUAACCAGAAAGCCACGGCUAACUACGUG
rnacentral:rRNA from 1 species